rnacentral:rRNA from 1 species
UGACAUCCUUUGACCACUCUAGAGAUAGAGCUUCCCCUUCGGGGGCAAAGUGACAGGUGGUGCAUGGUUGUCGUCAGCUCGUGUCGUGAGAUGUUGGGUUAAGUCCCGCAACGAGCGCAACCCUUAUUGUUAGUUGCCAUCAUUCAGUUGGGCACUCUAGCAAGACUGCCGGUGACAAACCGGAGGAAGGUGGGGAUGACGUCAAAUCAUCAUGCCCCUUAUGACCUGGGCUACACACGUGCU